GCUCUAGUAGCGUAUAUUAAAGUUGUUGCAGUUAAAAAGCUCGUAGUUGAACUUGAAGUGUACAUGGAUGGUGUACUUAACAGUGCUACUGUCUGGUGUAUGCUUGAUUGGUGGGAUCAGUGCAGGGCACUUUACUGUGUCUUGCAUGUGGCCAGCGUUUACUGUGAAAAAAUUAGAGUGUUUAAAGCAGGCUGGAUGGG
rnacentral:rRNA from 1 species